AUACGGCUCUUUAACACGUAGUCAAUCUAACCUAUGGACGGGGAUAACCUCGGGAAACUGAGGAUAAAACCCGAUAGAUCAUAAUGCCUGGAACGGUUUAUGGUUCAAAUGAUUCGUCGCCGUAGGGUGGGACUGCGGCCUAUCAGCUUGUUGGUGAGGUAAUGGCCCACCAAGGCUAUUACAGGUACGGGCUCUGAGAGGAGAAGCCCGGAGAUGGGUACUGAGACACGGACCCAGGCCCUAUGGGGCGCAGCAGGCGAGAAACCUUUGCAAUGUGCGCAAGCACGACAAGGUUAAUCCGAGUGUUUCCUGUUAAAGGAAUCUUUUGUUAGUUCUAAAACCACUAAUGAAUAAGGGGUGGGCAAGUUCUGGUGUCAGCCGCCGCGGUAAAACCAGCACCUCAAGUGGUCAGGAUGAUUAUUGGGCCUAAAGCAUCCGUAGCCUGUUCUGUAAGUUUCCGGUUAAAUCCAUUAGCUCAACUAAUGGGCUGCCGAAAAUACUGCAGAACUAGGGAGUGGGGGAGGUAGACGGUACUCGGUAGGAAGGGGUAAAAUCCUUUGAUCUAUUGAUGACCACCAGUGGCGAAGGCGGUCUACCAGAACACGUUCGACGGUGAGGGAUGAAAGCUGGGGGAGCAAACCGGAUUAGAUACCCGGGUAGUCCCAGCUGUAAACGAUGCAGACUCGGUGAUGCGCUGGCUUGUGGCCAGUGCAGUGCCGCAGGGAAGCCGUUAAGUUUGCCGCCUGGGAAGUACGUACGCAAGUAUGAAACUUAAAGGAAUUGGCGGGGGAGCACCACAAGGGGUGAAGCCUGCGGUUC
rnacentral:rRNA from 1 species